CUCAGAGGUUAUAGCUCCACUCAGAGGUUAUAGCCCUAGUCAGAGGUUAUAGCCCCAGUCAGAGGUUAUAGCCUCAGUCAGAGGUUAUAGCUCCCCUCAGAGGUUAUAGCCCUAGUCAGAGGUUAUAGCUCCACUCAGAGGUUAUAGCUCCACUCAGAGGUUAUAGCUCCACUCAGAGGUUAUAGCCCUAGUCAGAGGUUAUAGCUCCACUCAGAGGUUAUAGCCCCAGUCAGAGGUUAUAGCUCCACUCAGAGGUUAUAGCCCUAGUCAGAGGUUAUAGCCCUAGUCAGAGGUUAUAGCUCCACUCAGAGGUUAUAGCCUCAGUCAGAGGUUAUAGCUCCACUCAGAGGUUAUAGCCCCAGUCAGAGGUUAUAGCCUCAUUCAGAGGUUAUAGCCCCAGUCAGACAUUAUAGCCCUAGUCAGAGGUUAUAGCCCCAGUCAGAGGUUAUAGCCUCAUUCAGAGGUUAUAGCCCCAGUCAGACAUUAUAGCCCUAGUCAGAGGUUAUAGCCCCACUCAGAGGUUAUAGCUCCACUCAGAGGUUAUAGCCCUAGUCAGAGGUUAUAGCCCCAGUCAGAGGUUAUAGCCCCAGUCAGAGGUUAUAGCUCCACUCAGAGGUUAUAGCUCCACUCAGAGGUUAUAGCCCUAGGCAGAGGUUAUAGCUCCACUCAGAGGUUAUAGCCCUAGUCAGAGGUUAUAGCCCUAGUCAGAGGUUAUAGCCCUAGUCAGAGGUUAUAGCCCUAGUCAGAGGUUAUAGCCCCAGUCAGAGGUUAUAGCCCCAGUCAGAGGUUAUAGCCCUAGUCAGAGGUUAUAGCUCCACUCAGAGGUUAUAGCCCCAGUCAGACAUUAUAGCCUUAGUCAGAGGUUAUAGCCCUAGAACAACUCACUGUGAUGCAAACGGGGCUUUAAAGUCUUCCCAGACCAAGCAGGCAGUAUAAGCAACAACUAGGAUCCACUAAUUUCACGGAUUAAAGACUGUCUGUGAGAAUGUUCACACAUCUCUGUCACUCUUGAUGACAGUGUUUCUCAUUUACAAGGAAGUGCUGGGUUCUUUUGACACGAAGGCUCUUGGAGGUAUGAAAUUCAAAUUAGAUUGUUGGCUAUUAAAUGUAUUCUGGUGGCCUUUCACUCUGCAGUCUGAGAAGAGUCAAAACUGGAAGAUAUAAAUCACUGUUUAUUACCUCACACAAGAUAACAUCGUUACGAGGCAACAAAUAAUUAAAAUUGCUUUCUUUAAAUGUUAAGCCUCAACACGCUGUCCUAGAUACUCUGGGAUUCUCAAUGUCAACCAAGAACAUCCAAGUAUUAAAAAGUUGAACAUCUGUUUACUUGAUGAAAGAGCCCUUCAAAUGAGGGAAGCCACCUUGAUUUAAAAGCCUGCAGUCUUUGGAUUUGUCUGAGGCCUGUUGUCCUUUUGUUUCACCCUCUUUGAAGUUCAUUUGAGAAACAAUUGACUUCAUACAUGAAAGGUCUGGGGAGCCCCCCCCCCCCCAGUUGCUAGAGGAAGGGGAGCUAUGUUUGAGGGAGACCCAGUCACUGUUGGUUCAGAGAGGCAUUAACCUUCCUCUUACCCUGGGAGAAGACAGUCGGCCAGCUCCAUAUAGCUCUCUUUUCUCCACAGUGGACGCUUAGCUCUGACAUGCUCAACCCCUCUGACUUGUUGUUCUCAACUCAAAUCCACCUGCCAGUAUUUGAACUGCACCAUUGUGGAUGAUUAAUGUGUUUAAAUUCAAUGUCACAAAGAUUUUGUACCAAAGUUGUCCAUGAUCUCCCAUAAUAAAACGAGCGAGACAGAGACUGAUGUAUUAUUAUUAUUAGAAGGUUUGAAAUGGAAGGGACCAGUACUGCCAGAAAACAACUUGUGUACGGCACACAUUUCUUUCCACAAAAUAUUUUAGAGCUGCUAACCUCAAGUGCUGUUUGGUUAUACAUUCAAAUCCUUUUUUAUUUAUGUAUAAAGUCAAACGUUUUAGUCCAACACUUUUUAAAGAAAACCUAUAGCUGGAUGUAAUUUCAGUCACAAGACAAUAACUGACAGAAAACACAGGAGUAAAUUACAGUGUGCUGCUGGCAUAGAAGGGAACGCUGAAAGCUUACAAAUGGCAGCAGAGGCGUGUGAAACAAGAAGAAAGUGGAAGAAAUGAAAGACUCUCUGAUGUUACCAACUUCAGAUGAGAAACAGAUGUUUCACAUGGAGGCAGGUCAUUUAGUCAUCAGAGGCCUCCGCAUAACACACGUCAUCAAUUAAUACCACACACUAGAUAAAACGUGUUACUCCUCACAGAAAUCAUUCAGUAAGACAACUCCACUGAUAAGCACUUCAUUUGGGCGGAAUGAGGAAAAAUGCUGUUUCUUUUAUAUUCCAGUUUUAGGACGAACGAAGCAGGAUUAUAGAUGUUCGUUUUAGACACUCAACAGGCUCACCUUUUCAUUCCACGAAAGAUCAGUGUCUAUCUGUGUUACGGGAACCGUGAUUCUCCAUCCAGCACCACAGUGACGUGGCCAAGCUGGAAACAUAAACUGGGACUGUAAUCCUGAAUGGCACCCUAUUACCUACAGAGUGCCCCAAGGGCCAUAGAUAAAUGUAGCACACUAAAUAGGGAAUAGGGUGGCAUUUGGGAUACAGGUAUUACAUUAUUCAGAUCUUUAUAGUACUCCUAAUGACGUAUGACAUACUGUGUACAGUAUGUAUAGUAUACUGUAGUACGGCACACCCGAUGGAAACCAACUGCCUAAUCCUCCCCUUUAAAAGAGCUCAUCACCACCUCUGCAUAGGUCUGAUGGAAACCAACUGCCUAAUCCUCCCCUUUAAAGUAGCUCAUCACCAUCUCUGCAUAGGUCUGAUGGAAACCAACUGCCUAAUCCUCCCCUUUAAAGUAGCUCAUCACCAUCUCUGCAUAGGUCUGACGGAAACCAACUGCCUAAUCCUCCCCUUUAAAGUAGCUCAUCACCACCUCUGCAUAGGUCUGACGGAAACCAACUGCCUAAUCCUCCCCUUUAAAGUAGCUCAUCACCAUCUCUGCAUAGGUCUGAUGGAAACCAACUGCCUAAUCCUCCCCUUUAAAGUAGCUCAUCACCACCUCUGCAUAGGUCUGAUGGAAACCAACUGCCUAAUCCUCCCCUUUAAAGUAGCUCAUCACCACCUCUGCAUAGGUCUGAUGGAAACCAACUGCCUAAUCCUCCCCUUUAAAGUAGCUCAUCACCACCUUUGCAUAGUGAUACAUGCAUAAUACAUCUGUACUUGGUGAGGACUGUAUGUAACUCUAGUAACUCUGGAUGGGCAUUAGAUAACACAUUUAUCAAGGAGCUGGAGGUUAUCACUUCUGUCUGUGUUUAUAGUGAUGAGGACUCCUAAACGCUGGAGCUGUGCCCAUUUAAUUAAAAACAACCUACUGUUGUUUCAUUCCAUCCAAUAUCUUCUCUCUCUCCCUUCCUUUGCCAAGAUGCUCGUCAUCAUUUUUUGCUGCAUUUUUAUUGAAUCAUCACUUUAGUUGCCCGGAAAACCAACCGCCUGUCUUUUAGUUGCCCGGAAACCAACCACCUGUCUUUUUUCUUCUUCUUUACAGCUGGCCCUGGAAAGUGGCCUAUAAGAAAUGUAUGACACGACUCCUUUGAUUUGGAGGUCUAAUCAGAGAUUUGUACCGUUAUUCUCUGAUAUGAGAUUGUAUCGUAGCCAUAUGAAACUAGUCCCAUUUGCAUCGAGGGAAAAAAAAGCUUUCCUUUUGAGCGUUCAUUUAUCUAAUAUAUCUUUUUCAUUUCAACUGCCAAGGUUUAAUCUUUGAAUUCAUUGUAGGAACCAUGAGCUCAUUUUUGCCAAGUGUAAGGCAGGAUUUAAACUGAUAACAUGUCCUGACAGUAGGCUACAGUAUUGCUGCAAAUAGUACAAAUUGGAUAUGACAAAUGUUUCCUGAUUAUUUGUGCUUCAUUCGUCAGUUAAUUUAACCAUUAGAUUUUCAGCUAAGUCAUU